CCUACGGGCGGCUGCAGUCGAGAAUCUUCGGCAAUGGGGGGAACCCUGACCGAGCGAUACCGCGUGAAUGAAGAAAUACUUCGGUAUGUAAAGUUCUUUUAUAGAGGAUGAAUGACAUAUGUAGGAAAUGACAUAUGUAUGACAGUACUUUAGGAAUAAGCCCCGGCUAACUAUGUGCCAGCAGCCGCGGUAAUACAUAGGGGGCAAGCGUUAUCCGGAAUUAUUGGGCGUAAAGGGUGCGUAGGCGGCCAUUUAAGUUUGAGGUGUAAGUUCAAGGCUCAACCUUGUGAUGCUUCAAAAACUGGAUGGCUUGAGAGAGGUAGAGGCAAGUGGAAUUCCAUGUGUAGCGGUAAAAUGCGUAAAUAUAUGGAGGAACACCAGUGGCGAAGGCGGCUUGCUGGGCCUCGUCUGACGCUGAGGCACGAAAGCGUGGGGAGCAAACAGGAUUAGAUACCCCAGUAGUC
rnacentral:rRNA from 1 species